AGAGUUUGAUCAUGGCUCAGAACGAACGCUGGCGGCGUGCUUAACACAUGCAAAGUCGAACGCGAAAAGUUUCUUCGGGAAGACGAGUAGAGUGGCGCACGGGUGGGUAACGCGUAAGUAAUCUACCCCGGCAUCUGGAAUAACUCACCGAAAGGUGUGCUAAUACCGGAUACGUUGGUAACAAGAAAGGUGGCCUCUGCAUAUGCUACCGUGCUGGGAUGAGCUUGCGUACCAUUAGCUAGUUGGUAGGGUAAAGGCCUACCAAGGCGACGAUGGUUAGCGGGUCUGAGAGGAUGAUCCGCCACACUGGAACUGGAACACGGACCAGACUCCUACGGGAGGCAGCAGUGAGGAAUAUUGGGCAAUGGGCGAAAGCCUGACCCAGCGACGCCGCGUGGGGGAAGAAGUCUUUUCGGGGAUGUAAACCCUUUGUUGUACGGGGACGAAAAGAAUGACGGUACCGUACGAGGAAAGCCCCGGCAAACUACGUGCCAGCCGCCGCGGUAAUA
rnacentral:rRNA from 1 species